rnacentral:rRNA from 1 species
GACGUAGGGGGCAAGCGUUGUUCGGAAUCAUUGGGCGUAAAGCGCUCGUAGGCGGUCGAUUAAGUCGGAUGUGAAAACCCAGGGCUCAACCCUGGGCCUGCAUUCGAAACUGAUCGACUCGAGUCCAGAAGAGGCAAGUGGAAUUCCCGGUGUAGCGGUGGAAUGCGCAGAUAUCGGGAAGAACACCAGUGGCGAAGGCGGCUUGCUGGGAUGUGACUGACGCUGAGGAGCGAAAGCUAGGGGAGCAAACAGG